rnacentral:rRNA from 1 species
GACGAACGCUGGCGGCGGGCUUAACACAUGCAAGUCGAACGGAAAGGCCCUGCUUGUGUGCGGUGCUCGGGUGGCGAACGGGUGAGUAACACGUGAUUAACCUGCCCUUGACUUUGGGAUAACUUCAGGAAACUGGGGCUAAUACCGGAUAGGAGCUCCUGCUGCAUGGUGGGGGUUGGAAGGUUUCGGUGGUUAGGGAUCGACUCGCGGCUUCUCAGCUAGUUGGUGAGGUAGUGGCUCACCAAGGCUACGAUGAGUAGCCGGUCGGAGAGGAUGACCAGCCACACUGGGACUGAGACACGGCCCAGACUCCUACGGGAGGCAGCAGUGGGGAAUAUUGGACAAGGGGGGCAACCCUGAGCCAGCCAGGCCGCGUGAGUGAUGACGGCCUUAGGGUUGUAAAGCUCUUUUCUCCGGGACGAUAAUGACGGUACCGGAGGAAUAAGCCCCGGCUAACUUCGUG